GACAGAGGUGCCGAGCGUUAGGCGGAAUCACUGGGCUUAAAGCGUGUGUAGGCGGGCCGUUAAGUGCCCCGUGAAAUCCCCCGGCUCAACCGGGGAACGGCGGGGCAUACUGGCGGCCUUGAGCCACUUAAGGGCAGACGGAACAAGCGGUGGAGCGGUGAAAUGCGUAGAUAUCGCUUGGAACGCCGACGGCGAAAGCAGUCUGCUGGGGGUGUGCUGACGCUGGAGAC
rnacentral:rRNA from 1 species